ensembl:lncRNA
GAGAGAGAACGUGGCAGGGGCAGAUGGUGGCAAGUCACAGAGGAGAGACACACAGAGAAGGCACCCCCCCCCCCCCAUCCGGCACCCUUCAGUCUCUCUCUCUCAGGGGACACACAGAGAAGUGCACACCCCUCCCUCUCUCCCCCAUCCGAGCCACCCAUUCGUCUCUCCUCUCAGGGUGAAUCACGCAGGAAGUUUGUAGAUAAGACAGAUUUGAGAUCCAGAUUAUCUGUCUUCUUCAGUGGCUGGAGCGCCAGCCACCGACCACUUUUACUUCCCUGCUUCCCAUUUAACUUUGCUCAACAUUCCUCCACCCGAGAAAAACCUCUCUGCUGCCUGUCAACAUUACCUCCAACCCAGAGACAAUACCCUCUCUGCUGCCUGUCAACAUUACCUCCAACCCAGAGACAAUACCACUCUCUGCUGACCUGUCCACAUUACCUCCCCAACCCAGAGACAAUACCCUCUCUGCUGCCUGUCAACAUUACCUCCAACCCGAGGACAUACCUCUCUGCUGCCUGUCAACAUACCUCAAACCCAGAGACAAAAACCCUCUGCCUGUCAACAUUACCCAACCCAGAGACAAUACCCUCUGAAGUCCUGUCACAUUACCUCCAACCCAGAGACAGGAAACAUUUUGCUGCCUGCAACAUUACCUCCAACCCGAGACACACACCUGCUGUCAAAUUACCUCAACCACACCCAACCUCAACAGAGACCUUGCUGCCUGUCAACAUUACCUCCAACCCAGAGACACUCUGCUGCCUGUCAACAUUAACCUCCAACCCAGAGACACUCUGCUGCUGUCAACAUUACCUCCAACCCAGAGACACUCUGCUGCCUGUCAACAUACCUCCAACCCAGAGACACUCUGCUGCCUGUCAACAUUACCUCCAACCCAGAGACCACUGCUGCUGCCUGGUCAACAUUACCUCCAACCCAAGACACUUGCUGCCUGUCAACAUUACCUCAACCCCAGAGACACUCUGUGCCUGUAACAUUACUCACCGAGCAAGAACGUUUCUGCACUGCAUCAGAACAUCUUCUUCCACCAACUUGUUUUAGCUGUUACAUUAGAGUGUUUUAAUGACUGAUCCUGCAGCUCAAUCACAUUACCAUAGUUCAAUUAUAUUACCAUAUUUACAUUGUUGGUACUGGUAAAACAUGUUCAAAUUUGGCUGUGAUAUAAUGGAAAACUGAUCUUCUCAUUGGUCCACACUAAAAGGCUCUGUUUAUGUUUACACAGGUGUAUUUACCUGUGACGUUUCCCUCUGUUGUACACGCAGCUUCCGUCUUGGUGACGGUGGCAUUGUGUUCCGGCACCAGGCUCCCAGCGGUUUGGGUUUGUCUUCACACCUUCUGUCUGCUGUCUGCUCCUAAUGUUGUGGUGUCGGUCCAGUGCUGCCUCCAGCUCCACUCCAGCCUCCACAACCUUCAUGGUCCUCAGUCCUACUGAUGUCCUUUACAGUAAACAGAUCAGACAUCCUCAUCAGACGCACAGCUUACAGAGAGUCUCUAUACCACUGGUUCUGGGGUCUGGAGAUGGAGAAAGAGAGACAAUGGAGAGACACUGGGAUUUACUAAUCAAAAUGCAAAUAUUUUCCAUUAGAGCUACAAAAGACAUCUUACAACCUACAGUCAGAGAAGAGAGAGAGAAAACAUGGGCAUUGACAUUAUCAUGCAUUUACAGAGAGAAAACAUGGGCAUAUGAUUAUCAUGCAUUUACAGAGAGAAAACAUGGGCAUUAAAUUAUCAUGCAUUUACAGAGAGAAAACAGGCAUUAAUUAUCAUGCAUUUACAGAGAGAAACAUGGGCAUUGAAAUAUCAUGCAUUUACAGAGAGAAAAAUGGACAUAAUAUUGCAUUACAGGAGAAAACAUGGGCAUUGAAUUAUCAUGCAU